GACGAACGCUGGCGGCGUGCUUAACACAUGCAAGUCGAACGGAAAGGCCCUGCUUUUGUGGGGUGCUCGAGUGGCGAACGGGUGAGUAACACGUGAGUAACCUGCCCUUGACUUUGGGAUAACUUCAGGAAACUGGGGCUAAUACCGGAUAGGAGCUCCUGCUGCAUGGUGGGGGUUGGAAAGUUUCGGCGGUUGGGGAUGGACUCGCGGGUUAUCAGCUUGUUGGUGGGGUAGUGGCUUACCAAGGCUUUGACGGGUAGCCGGCCUGAGGGGGUGGCCGGUCAGCGUUGGUGGGGAUGACACACGGCACCGCCUCGGGGGGGAGGCAGGGGGGGUGAUGGAACAGGGGGGGGCGCAUGGAUGAAGCAGCGCCGCGGGGGGGAGGGAGGACGCCGGUGGGUAACCAGUUUCCCCUGGUGAAGAAGAGGAAGGGACGGUAUGGGGUAAAGAAGCACCGGCUAACUCGGUG
rnacentral:rRNA from 1 species